rnacentral:ncRNA from 1 species
AUCAGGGGCCCUGGCAAGGGCCUUCGAAGCGAUGUUCGCACCUACCCCGCGAGCCGCUUCGUGUCUGUACCGCCCACAAGGUGUGUUUGACGAGGUUGCCGACUGGAACGAAGUUGUCCCGAGGGACGGAAGCGUAAUUAGGUAACCCGGCACCACACUGUAGUUCGUAUAAAGGCCCACGACGCCCGAAUGCGCUCGCCAGUUCGCCCUUACCUGCUC